CCUACGGGAGGCAGCAGUGGGGAAUAUUGCACAAUGGGCGCAAGCCUGAUGCAGCCAUGCCGCGUGUAUGAAGAAGGCCUUCGGGUUGUAAAGUACUUUCAGCGGGGAGGAAGGGAGUAAAGUUAAUACCUUUGCUCAUUGACGUUACCCGCAGAAGAAGCACCGGCUAACUCCGUGCCAGCAGCCGCGGUAAUACAGAGGGUGCAAGCGUUAAUCGGAAUUACUGGGCGUAAAGCGCACGCAGGCGGUUUGUUAAGUCAGAUGUGAAAUCCCCGGGCUCAACCUGGGAACUGCAUCUGAUACUGGCAAGCUUGAGUCUCGUAGAGGGGGGUAGAAUUCCAGGUGUAGCGGUGAAAUGCGUAGAGAUCUGGAGGAAUACCGGUGGCGAAGGCGGCCCCCUGGACGAAGACUGACGCUCAGGUGCGAAAGCGUGGGGAGCAAACAGGAUUAGAUACCCUGGUAGUCCACGCCGUAAACGAUGUCGACUUGGAGGUUGUGCCCUUGAGGCGUGGCUUCCGGAGCUAACGCGUUAAGUCGACCGCCUGGGGAGUACGGCCGCAAGGUUAAAACUCAAAUGAAUUGACGG
rnacentral:rRNA from 1 species